GACGAACGCUGGCGGCGUGCCUAAUACUUGCAAGUAGAACGCAGUUUCGAACGGGUGAGUAACGCGUAGGUAAAUGCCUCAUAACGGGGGAUAACUAUUGGAACCGAUAGCUAAUACCGCAUACUGUGAGAUGGACCUGCGUUGUAUUAGCUAGUUGGUGAGGUAAAGGCUCACCAGGGCGAGCAUACAUAGCCGACCUGAGAGGGGGAUCGGGCACACUGGGACUGAGACACGGCCCAGACUCCUACGGGAGGCAGCAGUAGGGAAUCUGCGGCAAUGGACGGAAGUAUGACCGAGCAACGCAGCGUUAGUGAAGAAGGUUUGCGGAUCGUAAAGCUCUGUGGUUAGAGAAGCGUUAACUAACCAGAAAGGGACGGCUAACUACGUGCCAGCAGCCGCGGUAAUAC
rnacentral:rRNA from 1 species